rnacentral:lncRNA from 1 species
AUGCAGUAUUAGUGCGUCGUUGUAAACAGUAGUUAAGAUGUUUAACCUCAUCUAACAUGCGUCGUUAACCGCUUUAGACUGUUUGUGAUCGUGCGCGAUGCGGUCAGUGGAGUCAGUGUCUACACAUUAGCUCUAAUUAAUUGUAUCGUAAAUACAAUUAGGGUCAGAGUUAAUUGUAUCUACAAUGUAUUGUAUGAAAAAUACAAUUCAUUCGCGAAAUUACAGUCAGUGUUUGUUCGUCGAUUAUAAUUCAAAUGGCCGCGUUAGUAAUUCAUAAUAAGCUUUUUAAGUAUUCGUUUUCUCAGAAACUCAAAACUUCUCUCAAAGGGAUCCAUCCUCUGCAUAAUUUAAAAAUGACUUUUCACAACCUCCACAUCUACGAUAAGGUUCGAUGCUUUGAUGACGGUUUCUUCUGGGCCAUAGCAACAUUGAUAACAACGUUCUCCACAUCUAAUCCGAUGCAGGAUAGUAAAUGUAGAAAAUGGAAAAUGAGGAUAGAGUGGCAACUAAACAGCGAUACGCGGUAAGAAGAAUCGUUCCCAAAAAGGCGGGUGACCGUUAAGGUCCGCGACCUCUGGAAUGAACCUUCGACUCGAAUCAUGGAUAUUCGUACGGAGCUUUUGUGACAGUACCGCCGCCAGUAUUCGUGACUGUUUUAACGACACCUUAACCAGAGGAUAAAAAGUUGUCCAACAAGCGUACAACGAAUCGCAUUCAACACCAUCCACACGCCACACGCAAAGUUCAAAGAAACUCGCAACAUCAUGUACCACUUCAAAGUAAUGUGUUAAAAGCGGCAAAAAGCGUGAUCGCUCGAACCGUUAAGCGAAAAAUGGCACAGCACGAGCUCUACGUUUUAUAAAUGACAUAGUUCUAUUUUUUCAUUGCCAUAUUCCUCGUAUACAUGAUCAUACGUAAGUAUUUAGGC